rnacentral:rRNA from 1 species
GACGAACGCUGGCGGCGUGCUUAACACAUGCAAGUCGAACGGAAAGGCCCUGCUUUUGUGGGGUGCUCGAGUGGCGAACGGGUGAGUAACACGUGAGUAACCUGCCCUUGACUUUGGGAUAACUUCAGGAAACUGGGGCUAAUACCGGAUAGGAGCUCCUGCUGCAUGGGGGGGGUGGGAAGGUUUCGGCGGUUGGGGAUGGACUCGCGGCUUAUCAGCUUGUUGGUGGGGUAGUGGCUUACCAAGGCUUUGACGGGUGGCCGGCCUGAGAGGGUGACCGGCCACAUUGGGACUGAGAUACGGCCCAGACUCCUACGGGAGGCAGCAGUGGGGAAUAUUGCACAAUGGGCGGAAGCCUGAUGCAGCAACGCCGCGUGCGGGAUGACGGCCUUCGGGUUGUAAACCGCUUUCGCCUGUGACGAAGCGUGAGUGACGGUAAUGGGUAAAGAAGCACCGGCUAACUACGUG